GGAGUUGGUGGGCAGCAGGGGAGACAAUAGCGAACAUGCUGUGUGGGCUCAGCCGGGAGACCCCUGGAGAGGCGGACGAUGGGCCCUACUCCAAAGGAGGCAAGGACGCAGGAGGGGCCGACGUUUCCCUGGCAUGCCGCAGACAGAGCAUUCCAGAGGAGUUCCGAGGGAUCACUGUGGUGGAGCUGAUCAAGAAAGAAGGCAGCACGCUGGGCCUGACUAUCUCAGGUGGCACCGACAAGGAUGGAAAGCCCAGGGUCUCCAACCUGAGACCUGGGGGACUUGCAGCCAGGAGUGAUCUGCUGAACAUUGGUGACUAUAUUCGGUCUGUGAACGGGAUCCACCUGACCAGGCUCCGCCACGAUGAGAUCAUCACCCUGCUCAAGAAUGUGGGCGAGCGCGUGGUGCUGGAGGUGGAGUAUGAGCUGCCCCCGCCCGCUCCUGAGAAUAACCCCAGGAUCAUUUCAAAGACAGUGGACGUCUCCCUCUACAAGGAGGGCAAUAGCUUUGGCUUUGUCCUUAGAGGUCAGUGAAAGAAUUGCCCUUGGUAUUGGGGCAGCAAGAAAGAGGCUAAUACUAAUUCCAUGUGUGCACUGUUUUGCUUUGAAUGUAAUUUAUGUAUAUCUCAGUUCUGACUUUAAGGAACACAGGACUGUUAAGGUAAGUAUUCAAUGGGAAAAUCUGCCAAGCAAUGAAGUGUGCUUGGUUGGGGAGAGUGAGAGGAGAAAGUUGUACCGGAAAAUGAUGGUGAAAGCUGCUACCGAGACUGAGAACAAAGUUUGGAGCUUCCUAGAGAUCAGGGAAAAGGGGAAAUAAGGUGAGGUCACAGAAGGGAGGCAAGCCAUUUAACAGAGAGAGGACUUUGGUCAUGUUACCCACUCCUUGCACCAUCUCUUGGGAGGGUGUAUUUAUUGUUGGUGUCUCAUAAGAGGGUCCAUGAAUAGCAAGGACAAGGUCCUCAAACAGGUUUUAUUGAAGGAGCCUGCUCAGGGGCUGUGUGGGAACCUCUGGAUGGGAAGGGGUGGGUAGAUGAUUCCUGCUUCUUGUCAAAUCCUCUCCAGGAGGUGCCCAUGAAGAUGGGCACAAGUCCCGCCCGCUUGUCCUGACCUACGUGCGGCCCGGUGGCCCUGCCGACAGGUGAGCCGAGGCAGAAGAAAUCCAUACACUGCACUGACCUGCCCCCAGCUCCCCUGCGAAGAAGGUGGAGUGGGGUCACCAUGCCCGUUCCCCAGAUGAAGAGAUCGAGACCCUGAGGGAACGCUCCCUGCCCAGUGUCAUUCAGGGAGUUGUUGGUGGAGCCGGGAUGUAACUCCAAAUGAGGGAAACCUCGAGCCCUUUCUUCGCCAACAUGCUGCUGUCUCAGGGGUUGGGGUGUUUGCAGAGGGGCAGCCUUGGUGUCGUUCUUCCCUUUCCUGCUCCUUGGUUUUCCUGUCUGUAGAAUGGUCCCUAAGAGUUGCUAUGAGAGAUUUGGGGGCACGCUGAUUGUCCACUGCUGUAGCUGUCUGUGACUCAGUCUCCUGGGUCCUGGCUGAUUGACCCAGCUCGGCCCCGCCUGGGCCCAGCCCAGAAGGGCCAGGAGAGAAUGUGGGGAAAGAACAUGUCCAGUUCCCAGCCCCUGAUCCCCUGGCCUCCCCAGUGGGAGAUUCCUGGCCAUUUUAAGAGAAGCCUGGAACAGGCCUUGUCAGAAAUCUAAAUCUGUCCUUGGGACAGGGCCCUGUGAUGAGCUAUUCAUAGAACCCCCGAGAAUAGCUUUGGCCACCUGUUGGGAGAGGCAUUCCAGGCUGGGGAUGUGACCCAAACCGAGGUGAACCCUGCUAGGGCCCCUCCCCUGGCCCUUGCUGAGUUCUUUCCCAGGCGCGGGUUGUCAUCAGGCCAGAAUCACUGCUGAGAAACCAGGGUGAGGGUGGAGCAAUGGGAAGGGACCAGGACAGUUCAGACCAGCCUGCAAUGCUGUGUGGCAUGGGCACAGCUCGCACCCUCUCUGAGCCCUGGUGCUCUCCUUUGUCCCUGAGGCAGGAGUUGGGGGCGACGCUUGAAGAGCACCCCCGGCUCAGUCAUUUCAGGGUUCUGCACUGAGUCUGUGAAUUACUGCGCACCCAGAGGAGUGGCAGGCGGCAGAGCCACCCCAUCCUGUCUUCAUCCCCCCUUGCUUUAUGCAGCUCCCCACUCCUGGGGUGGCCAUUCCUUCACUCACUCACGUGCCCCUUCACCCGUCCCCUCCUCCCCUUCCUCCCCCACCCACUCCCUGCUUCUUCGUCCUCCACGCGCCGCUCCCCAGCGCCCUCCCAGACAGGCUGUGCCCAGUGCUGCUGCUGGGGCAGGCUGGUGACCGGCCCUUCCCUGCAGGGAGGGCUCCCUGAAGGUGGGCGACAGGCUGCUCAGCGUCGAUGGAAUCCCGCUGCACGGGGCCAGCCAUGCCACCGCCCUGGCCACCCUGCGGCAGUGCAGCCACAAGGCACUCUUUCAGGUGGAGUAUGAUGUGGCCACCCCUGGUGAGUUGGGGGCCUGAGUGUGUGGGUUGGGGCAGGAGGAGGCCUGGGAUGGGGGGAGGUGGCAGUGGCCAUGGAUCUUUACCACUGCAAAGGCUGCAUGACCUUAUGACUUUGGGCCAGUCACAGCCUCUCUGUGCAGUAAAUAGUAUGUGCUAGGCGUUGUUUGAUACGCUGGGGAUCCAGCCUAGAACAACAGAAUUGAGGUGUCUGUUCUCAUGGAGCUGGCAUUCUGGUGGAGAGAGGACAGUAUCCAGAAUAGAUAAGAUAUGGUCUAUGUCAGUUGGCAAUAAGUGCUGUGGAAAAAAGAAAAGAGGCAGGGGAGAGAGAUGGGACAGGCUGGGGGAUGCUCUCUCACUAGGGGAGUGAGGGAAUGAGCGAGGCAUGGAAUGUCCAGGGACAGCAUUCCAGGAGGGCGGAAGAGUAAGUGCAAAGGCCCUGAGGCAGGAGCAUGGCCAGCAUGGUUGGUCACAGUGAGGAGGCUGCCGUGGUUGGCACAGGUGAGUGAAAGGAGGUGAGGGCAGAGCGGGGUGAGGUGGAAGCCGGGAGGCCAUAGGAAGCGGCAGCAGCUGUCCAAGCAAGAGCUAAGGGACUGAACCAGGCUGGUGGCUAAGGAGGGGAGAAGGCACGGGAUUCAGGGAAUAUGAUGACAGUCCAGCUGGCCUGAUCUGCUGAGAUUUGGACAUGGGUGGGUGAGGGCAGGAGCUAAGGGUGCGGCCAAAGUUUUAAUUUCCAGCCACUGGGUGUGUUAAUGGAGGUGCCAUUUUCUGAGAUGGGGAUGGGUUGUAGUGAACAUUACAGUUUAGUGCUGGUAUACCACAGGCUCUUAAUAAACUCAAGCAAAUUCAUAUCACCCAGCAAAGCCCUGGGAUCACAGCCCCUCAGACCUGAGCUCCUGCCCCUCCUCCACUGCUAUCUUAAUCUGUCAAAUUGAUACAACAUUUGGUAGAAGAU
rnacentral:sRNA from 1 species